rnacentral:lncRNA from 1 species
CAACUUGGCCACAAGUUUUAUGGGAGGCCACAAGAGAUUGUCACUUUCACAAAUCAGAAUACUUCUUCUAUGGUGCCUACAAAGGAGCAAAUUGGUGACACAAACCAAGUUGGCUUAACUCGAGCAAUAUACUCAACUGAUGGCUUUGCUCAAACUACAAAUCCGACAAUCCCAUAAACUUUCUGCUAACAUGUUUAGAGUUUGAAUUCACUCUCUUCUAAACUUAUAGAUACACGUAAAAUUUCUAGUACUUAUAUGAGUUUAUCUACUUACAAUAUGAAAGACAAAACCAUUUAUAAAAUACCGAAGGUUGUGGAUACCAAAACCACAGACCAUAUGGUCUACUCAGUUUCGUUUCUUUCAGCCAUCAAGUCUGAAAUCUCUCAAUCUGUUGCCCUUCCUAAUGGAGAUAUAACACAAGCUACUCAUAUAGGAAGUGUUAGAAUUACAACUUAUUUAUUGCUACAUGAUGUUCUAUGUGUUCCAAUAUCCUUUUCUUUUAACCUUAUAUCUGCUAGAAAACUUGCUCAAACCUCCAAGUUUUGUCUCAUAUUUUCUUCUGAUAUAUGUUAUUUGCAGGACCUUUCAACUUGGAGGACGAUUGGACUAGGUGAAGUGGGGCAAGUCUUAUAUCAUUUAGUGCAUAGAGAAGUCUUCCCCUACAAUUCCGAUACAGGACCUACCAAAGCUAGCUAACAAAACUGAUUUUUCAACUUCUACUACUACCAAUCAAGAAGAUUUCGAGCUGUGGCAGUUCAAAUUAGGUAACCUCUCAGAUUCUAGAUUACAUUUGGCCAAUCUAUAUCAUGACCUUAAGACAAAACAUACCAAGAAACCUUGUUCUAUCUAUCCCUUAGUUUAAUUGCAUAGGCUGCCUUUCAAUAUUAGCCGCCACAUGUCAAAAAAUUGUUUUGAUUUAAUCCAUUGUAAUUUGGGGGACCCUGUACUGACAUUACUUAUGAUGUAUCAAGAUAUUUCCUUACUAUUAUUUGUUAAACCUCAAGUAUGAUGGUUUCGUGGCUUUGCGUAAUUUUUAUGCCAUGAUAGAAACACAAUUUGAUUCCAAAAUAAAAAUUAUCAGAACUGAUAAUGGGGGAGAGUUUAAUCUAACACAAUUUUAUUAAGAAAUGGGCAUUAUACACCAAACUACAUUUGUAGGAACCUACCCAACAAAAUGCUAUUGUUGAAAGGAAGCAUCAACAUAUUUUGAAUGUAGCAAAAGCACUGAAAUUUCAGAGUGGGUUACUUAUGUCAUAGUAGAAUGAUUGUGUUCUAACAACAGUUUUUCUCAUAAAUAGAACACCCACUCCUAUGCUUAAUAACAAAACACCCUUUGAAGUUCUUUUCAAUACUAAGUCAUGCUAUUCAAGCCUUGGGGUGUUUGGUUGUCUUGCUUUUAUUGCUAAAUUUGCACACAACAGACAUCGGUUUGAUUUAAGGGCAAGGAAAUGUGUUUUCCUAGGAUAUUCUUUUGGAACUAAGGGUUGCAAGUUGCUGGACUUAGAAACCAACAAAAUCCUCGUAUCUAGAAAUGUGGUGUUCCAUGAAAACAUAUUUCCUUACGAAGAAUCCAGUACUAAGGAUGAUGAUAAGAUGUCAAAUUUUACCUAUGAUAAGCUACCAAGUCCUACGGACUUGGCUUAUCCUCAACCAAGCAACUUUGACUUAAAUUAUCCUGUCAAUCCCAAUUUCCAAUGAUAAAUAGAACUAGCACAAAAUUCAAAUCAAGGAAUAGAAUCUUCUUAAAAAAUGAACCUCCUAGUGAAUUUGAGAUAUCACCUAAUUCCCCAGGUAGUCCUCACAUGCCUCGAAGAUCUUCUAGAAGUAGAAGAGCACUACAUAUCUGUAGGUUUUUGUUUGCUAGCAAGCAUCCUCACUCACUCAUUCUCAAGACUCCAACAAGCAGAAAGGUUCUACAACUUCAGGUAGUCCAUUUUCUUUAUGAAGCUAUGUAGGCUAAAAUAAAUGCUCUUAAGUUAAACUAGACCUGGAGUGUGACUAAUCUACCACCUAGAAAGGUAGCUACAAGAUACAGAUGGGUUUAUAAAGUGAAGUUCAAUGCUGAUGGAAAGGUUGAGAGGUAUAAAGCGAGACUGGUGGCAAAAAGAUACACAAAGCUGGAAAGAAUAGAUUACCGUGAGAAAUUCUCAUCUGUAGCUAAAUUGGUAACAGUGAGAAGAUUACUUGCAGUGGCAGCAAUAAAGGGUUGGUACUUGUACCAAUUUCACGUGAACAACACGUUUUUAAAUGGAGACUUGGAGGCAAAAGUUCAUAUGCAAAUGCUUCCUGGUUACUCAGAUAAUGGGUGUAAUGACCCGAGUCUCUGUACCCAAGUCGUUAGCUCGUGUACUGUCCAUUUUGGGUGGGCCUUGCAAUUUGGUACCAGAAUUCAACUUAAGUCUUAUUUAAGGGAAAGGUUAUGAGUUCGAAUUUUAGGGGACGUGACAGAAAGCCGUGAGGGGUAAGUGAGCGCAAGGCCCACCCAAAGCGGACAAUACGUAAACUAGCGGCUUGGAUACAGAGACCCAAGUUGUUACAAUGGGACUUCAAAAAUUCACAAACUUAAUAAAAGUUGAUACUAUUUGAAGCAAGCAUCUCGAUAAUGAUACUCAAAAUUAUCCAUUUCAUCGUUGAUCGGGGCUUUCGUCAAUCCAAGACCAACUACAGCUUAUUCACAAGGAGCACAAGUGAUUUGUUUACGGCCAUAUUAUUCUAUGUUGAUGACAUAAUAAUAGAUGGAGACAAUGUGGAGGUUAUCAAUUCCCUUAAAGUCCCACUUGAUGACAAGUUUAAGACCAAAGAUUUGGGGAAAUUAAAAUAUUUCCUUAGAAUAGAGGUGGCUCAAUCAACAAAGGAGAUUCAAAUUUUCCAAAUAAAGUAUGCAUUGGACAGUUUGGCAAAUUCGGGUACCACUGGAGUUACUCCAGCCAAAAUUCCACUUGAUCUAAACACCAAAUUAUUCAAAGAUAAGGGAGAAACCCUUUCUAAUCCUGAAGACUAGUAGGAAGACUGCUUUACUGAACAAUCACGAGGCCUGAUCUAUCAUAUUUAGUACAUUUGCAAAGUCAGUAUAUGCAAACCCCUAGAGUGCCACACCUGAAUGCUACACAUAAGGUGCUUAGAUACAUCAGACGAUCACCAAGCCUAGGAUUAUUGCUCUCUUUAUCCUCUAGUUUACAAUUAAAGCUUAUAGUAACUCGGACUUUGGGGCAUGCCUAGAUUCUCGAAGGUCAAUCACAAGUUAUUGCAUUUUUAUUAGUUCUACACUGGAAUCUUGGAGAUCCAAGAUACAAAGCACUGUUUCUAGAUCAUCAGCAAAAACAAAGAACAGGGCCAUGGCAGUUGUUUGUUGUGAGCUAACGUGGCUUAGAUACGUCUUUGAUGAUUUACAAAUACCUUAUUCACAACCCGCUGAGUUGUUUUGUGAUAAUCAAGCUGCAUUACACAUAGCAGCUAACCCAGUGUUGCAUGAAAGAGUGAAACAAAUUGAAUUGGAUUCCCAUCUGGUGCAUGAUAGAAUACAAGAAGGGAGUGUAAUUACAAUACAUGUUAAAACUGGCUCACAGAUUGCUGAUAUAUUUACUAAGCCUCUUUGUUCUAAUAUUUUCUAUUCUCACAUAAUACAUGUUGCUCUCUUGGAAAGAAUGAUUUACACAACAUAUAAAGUAAGAAUGAUUUCAAAACUACAGCAACUAAUUUCACAUAUAUUUUUUAUAAACACUAGAAAAAAAUUCAUAUUCCAAAUAACGCUUCUGGGUGUUGAUAAGUGCAAGUUUUUGCACUUAUUCAAGACAUUAAACAUAGAUAUUUGUGAGUUUCAUUGGUGAUUUAUUACCUAAUUUAGUUGUUUUUAUUGUGUAGGUGAAAACCCGAUGCUGAGUGAUGAUUUGAAGGAAUUUGUACGAGAAAAGACGAAAAAGAUAAAGAGAAACGAAGAGGAAGCUUGAAGACGCAACCGAUUUCGGGAAGAAAUAUUUACAGCAAGUGGAGCCCUGUCCAAAAAAGAAGGAGAAUCAGUGGCGCCUAGGCACCACUCAGGCCAUUUUUAUUAUUUUUUAGAAUCCCAGGGACCUUGGUUGCGAGUUCACUUAGCUUUUAAAUUAAAGACUUCACAAAUGCUAUAGAUGGGGCAGACUUUCUUCUUGCAUUUUUGGGGAUAGCCGGUUUCUUCUUCCCUUUUCUUUACUUUUGCUUUUCUUUUUCCUUUCUCCUUUCACCUAUAUUUUCUUGGAUAUUUUCGGGGAAGAUUGGAGCAUAGUGAUGGUGGAAUAGCUUGGAAGAGGAGACCCAUUUAUAUUGAAGAAUUCUCUACCAUUUCUCUCUUUAUUAAUAAGUUUUUCUUUUCAUAUUUUCCAUCAAUGUUUUGUAAGAAAUUGUUAGUUAUUUGUAAAUAUUUCAUGGGUAACUAAAUAUAUUUGUGAUUGGGGUGUUUUUGAACCCGAGUAAUGAUUUUCAAUU